CCUGGCGGCCUUAGCGCGGUGGUCCCACCUGACCCCAUGCCGAACUCAGAAGUGAAACGCCGUAGCGCCGAUGGUGACGUGUGGGGAAUGCCCCAUGCGAGAGUAGGGAACUGCCAGGC
rnacentral:rRNA from 1 species